CCUGGCGACGAGAGCGCGGUGGUCCCACCUGACCCCAUGCCGAACUCAGAAGUGAAACGCCGUAGCGCCGAUGGUAGUGUGGGGUCGGACGAGUGUGGGCGUAGUAAGGG
rnacentral:rRNA from 1 species